UACGUAGGGUGCGAGCGUCAAUCGGAAUUACUGGGCGUAAAGUGUGCGCAGGUGGCCGCGCAAGUCGAGUGUGAAAUCCCCGAGCUUAACUUGGGAAUUGCGCUCGAAACUACGUGGCUCGAGUGUGGCAGAGGAAGGUGGAAUUCCACGUGUAGCGGUGAAAUGCGUAGAGAUGUGGAGGAACACCGAUGGCGAAGGCAGCCUUCUGGGCCAACACUGACGCUCAUGCACGAAAGCGUGGGGAGCAAACAGG
rnacentral:rRNA from 1 species